CGUGACGAAGUAUACUCAACUAUACGUAGAAUUAAUAAUUGCAAUAUGACCAAUUUAUUAGUUUUGAGAGUAUAAACGGUACGGAAAAAUUCCACUGACCAAAAUCGAACUCGAUUUCAAGCGAGGAGGUGUGCCACCAUGUACUUCCUUUUCUCGGUGGCUUGCGACCCUUAAUAAAAGGGAAAAAAAAAAAAAAAGCUACCGAAUCCGCUGUUUACUGUAUUUCAGGGAGGACGACUCUCUCCCAGCUGACCCAGGGACCUUUUGAAGGCGUAUUCUGAAUGUGAGAAUGCUGCUGAUAUUAUAUUAGUUCGAAAUACUUGGCUCUCUCUGCAGGCUCGGGUUCCCAAGGCUCCCUCGUGACACUGAAGGUGAUGCUGUGGUGUCUCUCAGUGACGGGGAGGGUUCUAAUUCAGAUUCUGAUCAAGGGCUUCCAUCUCCCGAGAGGAAUAUGAAUAGCUCGACUUUACCGGAAAGCGAGGACGAGAGCGAAUAGAGAUGCAAUCCAAGUUUGUUGCUUAUUCGGUAGUCAGCGAUGAACCUGUGGGUACUAGAAAGUCAAGAAGCGUUGCAUAAGCGAUGUAUAAAUAUCAGUAGUUUUUAUUGCAUGCAUGAUAUGGUUCAUACUCCUUACUAGAAAGAACCACUUUUUGGAGCGGUGAACGCUCAAUUGCUCAAGUUUGAGGUGUUAUUAAUCAAAUAUGUAAGACUAAGGAGUUUGAACCAUUAAUAGUCAAAUAUGUCAGAUUAUGAAA